rnacentral:lncRNA from 1 species
CUCUAAAAUGCAGCUUCUAAAAGCGUCCCUGGGUGCUCAGGGUUGGGUGGGGAAAAUACGUGGAAUCACGGGAGAGGCGAUCAGCCUGGCGGACUGGAGGGUGCCUGGGCCCAUGGCAUCCUGAACAUUGGACUUGAACUCCAGCAACCUUGGGUAUAGGAUGUGCCCACUCCACACACUUCUGGAGCACAAGACUAAUAUCAUUGGUGUCUCUGGCCUUUGGUUACCUGGGGGCCCUACUGGAUACCACCUGUCAUCUCAGCUUGAGGAGUGCCAGGGAACACUGCAGAUGUUCAGCACCCUCCCAGCGCUCGGUUCCCAAGGUGCCCUUCCUUUCCUGUGGUCUGCUGUUCUUCGCUCAGCCGCCUGCCAUCUUCCCUGAAACGCGGUUCUGAUGGGUGACUCAUGGAGUUAUUUUCAAAUUUUCUGGAUUCAACUUUAGUAAGACUCGACGUGGGUAACGGUGCCUGCUUUCUAUGGUCUUAAUAAUCGAGUCAGAUUAAAAAGCAAAUUCACCUUCUGGCUACCAGUUAAAACCAUCCCUUGCCUGCAUGUCUGCUAGACUAUAAGCUCCCUGGGGGCAGGGACUCUAUCAGUCUUGCACACCCUCCAGCCUCCAGAGCAGUGUCUGCAUGUGGCAGAAGUCUGUUCUUUUUUUUUUUUUAAAGAUUUUAUUUUAUUUUUCCUUUUUCUCCCCAAAGCCCUCAGGUACAUAGUUGUAUAUUCUUAGGUGUGGGUCCUUCUAGUUGUGGCAUGUGGGAUCCCGCCUCAGCAUGGCUCGAUGAGCAGGAUUCGAACUGACGAAACACUGGGCUGCCUGCAGUGGAGCACGUGAACUUAACCACUCGGCCACAGGGUCGGCCCCUAGAAGUCUGUUCUGCCGGCCUCUCUGCUGACAGGUUGCUCCAGCUCUUCGCUUCCUCCCACUCGCCCAUCACUACCCAUCAUGGUGGUGGGCUGGCUGGGGCAGGCUCGAGGGGACAGAAAGAGACAGUGGCAGGAACAGGCUGCAGCUGUGUUAUCUGUAGGGCAAAGGGGCCAAGUGGGCUCUGAGAAGGGAGCUCAGCUUGAACUGGACACGUAGUGCCAGAAAGUGAGUCAUUGCUCCUAACAAGGCCCUCAGAGGUGUUAGAGAGAUCGUCCAAGGGAGGGAACAGAGACCUGACAUAGGUAGUACAGCUGAAGUCAUAGUUAGAGAAAAAAUAGCCUUUCUGGAUUGUUCCCCUAGGCUAUAAUUUGGGCCUGAGAAAAAUCUCUACUGUUUACCUUGUGAUUUCUUUGGAGCCCCUGUGGCCGGGCUGGGAUGAGGCCUUGUGGGUGAUGUCUGCUGCUCGCCAAGCCCAGCUCCUUCACAGAGGCAGCAGCUCCCAGACAAGCCUGCUGACAUCCCACUUCCCACUGACUCUGAGCUGCCCACCAGGGCCUCGGGACCGCACACCGUGAAUGCAAACCGUACAGGUGGGAGGAGCAGCAGGGCCUGAGUGGAGUUCUGGAGACGGGUGUGACGAGGUUGAGGUAAGCAUAGAGAUAGGGAAGCUUCCAGUCCUCUGAGGAUGGGCCAGUGGACAUCAGUAGGCUCCAAAAUCUGUCAGGCAGAUGGAUGCAGUUGGGAAAGAAAAGGCUCUGGGUUGGGAAUACUGAGUCCAGUCCUGCUCUGCAAAUAACCAGCCAUGCUGCAAACCCUUUAUCUACAACUCGAGGGAAAGGGCGGGGACAGAGGGUUUUAACCUACAGCCCAUAGGGAGGUUGGAGAAUCUGUGAACUCUAAAAUGAUGUGCACAUUUUUGUGUGUUUGUGCAUCCUCUAGAGGAAAUGGCCCAUAAGAUUUUUUUCAGAUUCUCAAAGGGGUCCCUGACCCAGAAAAAUAAGAACCAGGGUGAUCGCUGAGGUUCUUUCUAUCAUAUAUAUUCUAGAUUUCUAAAUUACAGGCUGCUCAAUCUUGUCAGUAGGUUUCUAAUAUUGAUAGAGGUAUUGUCCAAAUCUGGUCCCCAGGCAAUAUGACUCUGAGGGGACCUGCGGGAUGUGACUCUGAGGGGAGGCUGGAAUGAGAUUUGUGGAAUCACACUUGUAUUUCUUGCCUGUGUUGUGGAAGAAAAUGCACUCUCCAAAUUGCUGUGUUCUUCCUGAGUAAUUGGACACAGAUGCUCCUGUUAGAACCAUUUCCUCUUGUGCCUUGUCCUCAGGCUCCAGGGCGUCUCCUCAGGCAGACAGCUGGCCCUGGCUCCCAUCUCCAUCAUCCUGUUUUCUGGAUGCGAUCUGGUACAGCUUUUGUACCACAUCAGGGCUAGAUGCCACCUGAACCCCAGGGCCCAUGGCUCAGGGAAGAAAACGCCACCUGUGGUCUUCCGCACCUCCCUAAGCCACCCUAGCUUCCAGAUGUGCAGAAGUGGUUUUGUCAGCUUUUUUCUACAAAACCGUGUUUUCCCCUGCUGUCUUUAGAACAGGGCAGAAAUUCAUAAAUAGAGGCAGUUUGGGGCCUGGGGACUUUAGCCUCACGAACUGGAUGAGCUGAACAACCAAUCUCUGAGGAUGUAACACUUUUAUUUCUUGGAUCCUUUUGCCCCCGCACCUCCAACCCUUUCAGGGGGAAGACCUUGGCCAGGCCUCCAUGCCGGGUCAGCCACCUGGAUGUGGAGGCAAGAAAGGAAACUCUUCAAUCUCUAGAGGUAAAUCAUCCAAGGCGUGAAUUCCCCAGGCUUUUUGAGAGAAAAGGUCUCCACUAGCAGCCUCAUCACAGGCUGUUUCUGGAAAUCCAGGCCAAACCAGCCCUCAGUCCCCCAGGCUGCUGGCUGAGCCCUCACCCGGACCUGCGGCUUCUUUUUAGGAUUCCCGCCAUUGGACAGCUCAUUGUCUGUAUACAUUCUGCUUCACCCCAGCCAACGCUUGGCCUCCUUUUAAAAGAGGCCUGCCAGUUUGAAUAUCCUUUUGGCAGAAGAGGUGGGGACUUUCAUUUUUCCACCCAUGGGCUUCACGUCAAUUCCCUGCCCGAGGCUGGCAGCCUCACCAGCCAGCCAGAACCCAGCUCUCCCGGAGGACAGAGGAAAUAUUUUCCCUGGACAAGAUGCACAAGAAGGGCUUUUCCAGCAGGGUCCAAGUUCCUAAGCUCCGUGCCAUAAACUACCCCCGCAUCAUUGAUGCUGGCCUUUCCAUCAGCCCAGCAGAGACCUAGCGGAGCUGCAGGGGAAUGAGGAGGAGCCAAGCCUCAGAGGAAAAGAAGUGGAAUCGAUUCUUCCUCUACACAUGGAUAUCAUUAGAUCUUGGGUGGAUUUGCUCCUGUCCCUUAUUGUGAAAGAUCUUGUCAAGACCUUGAAGAGACAAAUCGCUAGGGUCCUGGUGCCGGGGGUCCCCUGACCCAGGGGGAGUAAAUCAUGCCUGAUAUUUGUUGAGGGCCUUACAGUUUGCCAGGACAGUUUCUCCGGUGACCUGGACAGUGCUGACAGUGGGCACGGGCUUAUAACCGUCCCACGAUGCGGAUGCCUCCCCGGCCACACCCUCCCUGUGCGGGAGCUCUUAGCCCCUCGCCCACACCUGCUCAGCUCCCUGAGGAACCCUCUGGUUCGCCUUCUUCAGUUUGCCAGGUCCUCAGCCCUCUGCUGGAUUUCCUGGUUUCUCCCCACCACCAUAUGUGUCUUUUCCCCACUUUAAAUUCCUUGGCUCUUGGAUUUCCUGCGAGAGCCGCAGGCCCUGAGUCUCCCCAGGGUCUCCCUUCUCCUGCCUCUGGGCUGCUGAGCAGAGCUGGGGCGGCCCCUUGUCCCUCCCCUUUUUUACGUCUCUUAGGGAAGCCCAGCCUUCUUUCCAACGGCAGCUGGGUCACUUCGUGUCCCUUCGUAACCCUCCCACCCCACUGCAGCCUUCUGUCCACAGGACUUUCCUCUGGCAUUUCUGGGCAUGGAGGCCCCUGCCUGGCCUCAGCCCUCCUCAACUCCUCUCGCUGUCUCUGUCACUUAUGAUGUGAUGUGGGCAAGCGUCCAACUUCUCUGUGACAUGCUUUCCUCAUCUGUAAAGUGGGAUGAUGAUCGUGCUUCCUCCAGGGCUCUUGUCAGGACUCAGUCGUCAGCAGCGGACGGGGCCUGGCCCACAGUAACUGCUCUGUGAACGAGAGCCACUUUAUGCUGGCCCCUUUGGAGACAGGAUCAUCUGUUCAAAGCUGGUCCUCCUCAUAAGCUCUUAAGCUUAUCCCUUCCCCCAAGAGGACCAGCUUCUCCCCACCCCCACAGGACAAAAUCCAAGCUUUUCGGUGUGGCUUCAGUCCCUUCACAGUUCCCCCCCAGCCUCAGACCUGAGACCCUGCCCCACCCCCCUCCACAACUGGCUGCCUGCCGUACACUGUAUGUUCUUUUGUCACUCGGUGCCCCUGCUUGUGUAGCUUGCAUCACUUCUCUUUUUUUUGUCAUUCCUCCCACCCCAAAGUAAACCAAAACAAUGCUUCCUUCUUUCUAUUCAAAUAACACAGCAGUUGCCUAUUGCCACAGAAUACCACGUAAAAACAGCACCAGGAUCCCACGGCUUAGAGCAGUACGUGCUGACUUAGCUCAUCAGCCUGUGGAGCAGGGAUCUGUGGUCUCAGCAGGACAGUUCAGUCUUGGACUUACUCACAUGUCUGCAGUCAGGUGGCAUCGGGGCAUCAGGGUGACCAGAGCACAUGUCUCUCCUACAAUAGGUCCUACAGAACCAGAGGCUGGCCUGGAACAUUCUUAUGACAGGUGGGGCAGAGAACAAGCCCUGACAUGUGGGACUUUUCAACCCUCCAGUUGUGUCCGAUUGGCUAACACAAAGCAACUCCCCUGUCUGGUCCCUGAGUUAAAGGGGAGGCACUCCAAAGUGACAGGGCCAAGGGCCUGAUCAGGAAGGAGAAGAGUGGGGCCACGGAGCACUGAGUCUACCCCAGACAGCACAUUUUGCACAUCGCCAGGGCAGCACCCGUCUCUCAGGAGUGCAGUUGGUUGUUUAUGCACCUGCCCCCUGCAGGGGCAGGAGCUGCGUCUUAUUCACUAUUGCAUCUCCAGUGCUUAGCACAGUGCUGGCCACAGAAAGUGCUCACCGGUAGUUACUGAAUUGAAUUUCUCCUCCCAUCUCAGUCUCGGUCUCCAAGAGCUCGUUAUGCUCUACUUUCAAACAGAUGUCCUGCCUCCUCUUUAAUCCAGUGCCUUCCCUUGUCCCUGCUCUCCACUCGGAGCUCCCCACUGACUAACCUCAUGCCCCUCACUGUCAAGUUGCUUGAUUGCACAGUCUAUAAUAAAUAACCAUUCUUCCUAUGCCCUUACCCACCCAUAACUGAGCCUUUGAAAGCCACUGGUCACCUUUGACCACGUUCAAACUAUUCAUCAGUGCCUCAAAGCCUCUCUCACAUUUUAGUAGCAAAGAGUCAUCUCUUCUUCAAAACGUUCUCCUUAUGGCAGCACAGGCCAGUGAGCAGAGCUUGGCCUUUAGCUCAGAGACACUCAAAUCGUAUCCCAACUCAACACCUUUCAGUUGUGUGACUCUUGACCCAGGGGAGUGAAGAAUCAGCUUCAUUCUGAGGACAGUCUGCUUUCUUCUGAGACCUAACUAUUGGCCCGUUUUCACUUUUCACCUGUGACCUGCAGUCGAACUCCUUCUUUUCUGAAGAUCUAGAGGUUUUCUACAUUUCUAGAAGAUUUUGGACCCCAAGAAGAGGGAGAAGGGUUUGGGUUGAGGGGUUGCGUUUUUGUUCUGGACGUAGUGGCAGGAAAAGCAUAGCCUUUAGAUUCAAACAGACUAGGAUUCAGAUCCCUCUCUCCUCCAUCCAACAAAGCCCUGGGCCACAUGAUACUUCUCAUUUCUCUCUGACCAUCUCUCUCUCUCUCUUUUAAUUUGUCCUUCCUUCUGUGUCCUAAUAUCAGGCUCCAUUAAGGUUCUAUCCCCUUAGGUGUUCUCUUUUUACACUCAUUUUCUUGUAUAAGCUGGACUUUUCAAGGGCUUAUCUGAAUUGGUACCUUCCAUGUUCAAACUGCCAGCUCUGAAAUCUCCCUAGGGAUCCACUCCCACAUUCCCAUUUCCUGUCAGGAUGUUUCUACACGGAUAUUCCAUAAUUAGCUCAAAUCUCAAACGGAAACAGGCUCCUCAUGCCAAUUUACCCAUUUUUGUCAGCAGUGCCAUUUUCCCCUCUGUUUGAUGUUCACGCCUUGGCCACCUUUGUUCCCUCCUUCCUGUAAUGGCUUCUACUGUUUUCUCUUCCAUCAAGCUUUAGACUGGCUGCCACAUUUACUCCAGAAGGUUGUGGAGACACUAAUAAGAAAUCCCUUCUCUAUACUUUUUCCAUCCUCUUCCAAAGACAACAUUCCAGUUCCUGGAUUUACAGAGUGAGGAAAUGAGCCACGGAUUGGUUUUUAUUUGUCUGGGCCACAUCACCAGCAAGGCUGUGGGCAGUGCCUUGACAGCUAAGAUGUGAGGAGGAGGAAGAGAGAGGCUGAGAAACAAAAUUCUCUACGAUUCCUUUCUUCCUCUUUGAGAAUGAAAAGUAGUAUCAACUCACUACCCUUGGUGAAUGCACAUAAAAAGCCUUUUAACAUCCUCAGAUGUAUGAAGGAGUGAGGAACAUCUUCCACUCUUGGCCAAGUUCUUUCCAAGAAAAUGAUCUCAUUUAUCUUGGUGAAAGGCUUAUUUUUAAAAUGCACAUUUCAUUUUCCAUUAUUUAAUAGACACAUAAUGUCUUGCAGCUUUCUUCUAAGUGAUUUCAUCCAUGGCGAUUAUACGUAUUGUUCCUAUUCAUAUAUGCACCUCGAUAAAUCUCUAUGUAUUUCUUUCAACACUGUGGUGAUAAAAAUACAUUUGGCAAUGUGCGCC